rnacentral:rRNA from 1 species
UACAGAGGGUGCGAGCGUUAAUCGGAAUUACUGGGCGUAAAGCGUGCGUAGACGGUUAUUUAAGUCGGGUGUGAAAGCCCCGGGCUCAACCUGGGAAUUGCAUUCGAGACUGAAUAGCUAGGGUACGGUAGAGGGAAGCGGAAUUUCGGGUGUAGCGGUGAAAUGCGUAGAUAUCCGAAGGAACAUCAGUGGCGAAAGCGGCUUCCUGGACCAGAACUGACGAUCAGGCACGAAAGCGUGGGGAGCAAACAGG